UGUCGACCCCAAUCAAAUUCGUCCCACAACCCACUACUUGAAAGAGUACACGAAUAUGUUCAUUUAUUGCUACAUGCUAGUUUCAUAUUUCUUAGGUUGCUAUGACACAACCUCAUGGAUCUGUCCCACAACCCACUACUUGAAAGAGUACACGAAUGUGUUCAUUUGUUGCUACAUGCUAGUUUCAUAUUUCUUAGGUUGCUAUGACACAACCUCAUGGAUCUGAGGUUGACAUAGUAGCAGAGAUAGGUUCGUUAGUUUAACAUAUUGCAAUUUACUUCAUCCAUAUAGAACAAGGAAAUUAUAUUUGUUUGAUGCCAAGUUAGUUAUUCAGUUCAUUAAUAAAAAAAUUACAUUUUUUUUAUUCUAGCAUGCCUCUUCCUUCUCCGUCUAUUACAAUAACCUAACAUUUCCCCAUCUGGCGAGUGACAAUUUAAAUAUUGUUUUUAGGACAUCUAGAUAUAUAAAUAAUAAUAGUCUCAUGUUUUUAUUUGAUGUCAAGCACGGGUAUCUCCGCUAGUAAUAAACUAAUAAUAUGUAACCUCAGGACGGAAGAAUUCGGAGCGACGGUAGCAAAUCUCCCGUUUUAAGCGUUUUGGUAUAUGGCACGUGUAAUGUGGUUCAGAUUUUACCGUCCGAUCGGUUGUACUGGCCAGUUUCCUCCUCUCUUUCCUGCUGCCGUCUUGGGCUGUUGGCUCCUGGCCUCCUCCUGUUGGGCUUUAUCUUCCGCGCAUCGUUGGCCCAUAGGCACUGCUUCAGCGUUGCGGAAGGUUUUCGCGUCGUCGGUGCCCCACAACGAAAUCGAGGAGCUAGCGUCUACGGGCGGAGAAGCAUUGAGCUACUGUAGCAACCACCGACAGCACGCAGAGGACCGUGUGACUUGCGGGCUGUGCGGAAGCCCGCGCGUGCAGAGGCCGGCUUCAUCCGUUGCGGCAGCCGGCAGGGGCGGCGCGACGCGGAGGUCGCGUGCGCUGAUCGGCCGGGCGGCGGGCAUGUGCGUCCGCCCGCACGGCUGAACUGAACUCAGCGCCGCCGCAGAUCAGUGCCACCCGCUCCGCCGCUCGGCUAGCGAGCCACGACCUGCUGCGUGCCGUACCUGCUGCCAGCACCGUUGUCAGCACGGGCCUCUAGCGGCUCCGGCGCCGCGCCUCGGGGAAUCCGGCAGCGGACGCAGAGCGACACGUGGUGCGGUCGUACCUGUCGCACGCGCCGCCCGCUGGACCCACGCUCGCCGAUGGCCUCCGCUCGCAUAUUCUGCCUGCCGGAGCUGGUUUCGCCAUGCAAGCGUGGGACACCGGACCCAAGGUGAAGCAACAGCAGGUUGCCACUGCCAUGAGAAAACUAUCAACAAACACGCCGGAACGGCCGAUCGACCCGCGCGCCUCGCCGAGCUCGAGCAGCAUUGCAGCAACAGCUCGCCUGCCCGGCCGACUUGCUGAGCACUCCACAGUCCACAGUCCACGGUCGCUUCACCAAGCUCGAGCAACGGCACCAGGCUGCCGACUCGCUGAGCAUCCCGUGCUCGAGAUGGGUCAACGCCGCAGUCCACGCUUGUGGAUGGAUAAAGCUGCCUAGGUGAGUGGACGAGGACGACGAGGAGGUGCAGUGUGCCGUGGGUCAUCUUUUCUCCUGGAGUGCAACGGUCAGAUCAACAAAAGGCACGACACGAUUUAACCAAAACCGAAGCUAGAAGAGAAACAAACGGACCUAAUUCGGCUACUACGGCUUUUUGCGCUGAUAUUUGGAGCGGGCGGGGCGAAGCGCGCUGAUCCACCUAGUGGUCAAUGAUCGGCAGAGGUUUGAUGGAAAAUGUGAUAGACGAACUUGGCGAAACAGCAACUUCAGUGGAAGAUUUCAACAUGGGUGAAGGCCCACAAGGCUACAAAACCCCCCAGCAGGUUCUUCGCCCAAAAAUGUUAGUGACGGCAUCUACGGCCCAUCAGUAGGAUACCCUCUCCUGCCUUUUACUCUCUUUUCUGCUGCUUCAGUGCUUCGCAUAGUGCGCUCUCUACAUACUAUUGUCAAAGAAAUACUAAUGGCUUUCAGCCAAAUGAUUAGUUAGCUUUUACUAUGCCAGUGAUAUGGAACAGAUUCGCGUUUAGAAUUUAGGAGUGCCCUUGAGAUUGAAGCAAGCCAGAAAUGAAGUUGCUCAUGGACGAAUUUAACAGUUCAACAAAUAAAGGAAGAACAGGACGCAUUGCAGAUUA